UUUACGUCCGAUUAAGGUCCAAUUUACGUCCGAUUAAGGUCCCAUUUACGUCCCAUUAAGGUCCAAUUUACGUCCUAUUAAGGUCCAAUUUACGUCCGAUUAAGGUCCAAUUUACGUCCGAUUAAGGUCCAAUUUAUGUCCGAUUAAGGUCCAAUUUACGUCCGAUUAAGGUCCAAUUUAUGUCCGAUUAAGGUCCAAUUUACGUCCGAUUAAGGUCCAAUUUACGUCCCCUAGGACGUCCGAUCAAGGUCCAAAUUACGUCCGAUUAAGGUCCAAUAUACGUCCCCUCGGACCUCAGAUGGACGUCCAAUGGACGUUCGGUAGCGCGACAUUUGGACCAAAAUAGGACGUAUAAAGGACG